rnacentral:misc_RNA from 1 species
UCGAUGCCUUACAUGUAGUCCAACACGUGAAUCAGUUUGAACACACAGGGUUGGCUUGGGGUGUUGAACACCUCGUGCCUAACUCCGGUUCGGAGGGGGACAGCCAAGUCUGUUCUCCUCUGCGCCAAAACUCAAACCCCGACGCUGAAUGCGUCAAGGAAUUAAAACUUUGUUAUGUGCGCACCUUCAUGGAACCGGAGACGGUUUUCGUGCGGGUUGUGUUUUGACACAUGAAAUAU